rnacentral:rRNA from 1 species
UACGUAGGAGGCGAGCGUUGUUCGGAUUUACUGGGCGUAAAGGGCGCGCAGGCGGUCUUGAAAGUCAGGCGUGAAAGCCCCGGGCUUAACCUGGGAAUUGCGCUUGAUACUCUGAGACUGGAGUACGGGAGAGGAGAGUGGAAUUCCCAGUGUAGAGGUGAAAUUCGUAGAUAUUGGGAAGAACACCAGUGGCGAAGGCGGCUCUCUGGACCGUAACUGACGCUGAGGCGCGAAAGCGUGGGGAGCAAACAGG